AUGGCCGAGAGGCUGAACCAGCCAAGUCGCGUGAAGGAAGAAGGAUCUAUGGUGUUGUAAACUUCUUUUAUAGGGGAAUAAAGUGGAGGACGUGUCCUUUUUUGUAUGUACCCUAUGAAUAAGCAUCGGCUAACUCCGUGCCAGCAGCCGCGGUAAU
rnacentral:rRNA from 1 species